rnacentral:rRNA from 1 species
UCGAGGAUCAUUCGCAAUGGGCGAAAGCCUGACGAUGCGACGCCGUGUGAGCGAUGAAGGCCUUCGGGUUGUAAAGCUCUUUCGCUUUGGAACAAGAGAGGCCGGUGAACAACCGGCUGAUUUGAGGGUACAAGGUAAAGAAGCACCGGCUAACUCCGUGCCAGCAGCUGCGGUAAUACGGAGGGUGCAAGCAUUAAUCGGAAUUAUUGGGCGUAAAGGGCGCGUAGGCCGAUUCGAAAGUCAGAUGUGAAAUUCCGAAGCUCAACUUCGGAGCUGCAUUUGAAACUGUGAAUCUAGAGGGAUGGCGGAGAAAAUGGAAUUCCACAAGUAGCGGUGAAAUGCGUAGAUAUGUGGAAGAACACCGGUGGCGAAGGCGGUUUUCUAGCUUUCUCCUGACGCUGAGGCGCGAAAGCAAGGGGAGCAAACAGGAUUAGAUACCCGCGUAGUCC